UACGUAGGGCGCAAGCGUUGUCCGGAAUUAUUGGGCGUAAAGAGCUCGUAGGUGGUUUGUUACGUCUGCUGUGAAAACCUAGGGCUUAACCCUGGGCCUGCAGUGGAUACGGGCAGACUAGAGGUAGGUAGGGGAGAAUGGAAUUCCCGGUGUAGCGGUGAAAUGCGCAGAUAUCGGGAGGAACACCGGUGGCGAAGGCGGUUCUCUGGGCCUUACCUGACACUGAGGAGCGAAAGGCGUGGGGAGCGAACAGG
rnacentral:rRNA from 1 species